rnacentral:rRNA from 1 species
GGACAUAUUGUUUUAAUCAAUUAUUAAUGUACGGGGAAUUAUUUUAAAAUACAUAUAUAUGCGAGAGAAGGUACGCAACCAUUGCACUGAUUGCAUGCACGUGCCGUCGAUAUUGUCCUAAUUAACUAUUGACUACAGUAAGUACAAGAACAUGGAGGAAGUACUACUAGUAUAAUUAAGCACACGACUAUACAUGCAGAUAUUAUAUCCUCGUUGUUCAGAUUUGUUCAUUCGAUGGUGGUGGCGCACUGGCAGUCCUGCACGACGACGGCCCUGAGCUGAGACGGCGAGACGGCGGCGGCGAUGCACUCGGCAGCGAGGGUGCGGCUACUGGACACCCAGACGACCAUCUUCCAUCGGAGCCUACCGGACUGGUGGCGCCUGGCCGCCGUGCAGUCCCUCGGAGCGCGGUCGGGGUCAUCGGUGAUGAGGGACAUGGAGAUGGCAGGAGCGCACCGCUGGCUGAGGAGAGCGCAAGAGAAGAGAGAGGAACGGUGUGUGUGGUGUACGUGAGAGACGAGCGCGCUAUGACUGUGGGUGAAAGAUGCUAAGGUAAUAUAUGGAGUAUAUAUCAGUCAUCAUACUUACAACGUUUUCUUUGGUAAGUGAUAAUAUUAAC